rnacentral:tRNA from 1 species
GGGGAUAGCUCAGUGGUAGAGUGCACGCCCAGCAGGCGUGAGGUCCUGGGUUCAAUCUCCAGUAUCUCCA